rnacentral:sRNA from 1 species
GGCACCAGUGGUUGUCACUCCUGGUUCCCAGGAUGGGAUUAAAGUCCCUGCAGUGUU